CCUGGACCCAUUUAAGAGCUGUCUGCCAGAGGGGAAGGAUCUUUUCUGGAGAUCUACUUUGCUGGAGCUUGGUAAGUGAGCCCAGGAUACAGAGCUGUGAGGUGCCUGACAGUCCAUCACAGGAAAAGGAUGUGAUGGAGAGAAGCAGUAGGCAAAGAGAUAUGAGACAAAGAUGCAGAAUUGUCCCCAGAAGAAUCUGAGUAAGGAAGAAAAGCUCUGGGAAAGGAUUUGGUCAAUUGCUUCAGCCUGCCUCUGGUCACAGUGGUCCUCACUUAUAUUUUUAGAGGAUGAUUUCCAAAAUUUGGACUGAAUACAUUAAAGUAUUUCAGUGGCCUUACUGGCUUUUGAAACCUAAUGUGGCCUAAGAUUUCCUCAAGGUCUAAAUGAGCACUCUGUCAUUUAAACUGGACUUAAAAAUAUACCUGCAAAAACACUGUCUGACAGCUCUCAUAAUACUGAAGUGUUCAAGUUUUCAUGGAACUUGGAAGAAAAAGAGACAGAAGCUAAUUCCUACCAGAAAGUAAAGGACAUAGAAGGUCACAUUUCUUUGCAAGGUAUAAUGCGAGAGCAAACGGGCUUCAUUGUAACACUAGAGCAAGCAAAGUGUAUCAACACCAAUUCUCUCUUAAAAGAGUGAUCCCAGAGCAGAUGCAGCACAUCACUCAUGCUAUGGAAUUUGGAAAUCUUUUUGCCAGAGACACAUCAGCUCCUGGAUAGCUCAGUUGGCUUUGAAAGUACGUUUUAAAAAAGUUUCUUCAUAAAGUGUUUGUUAAUUUUGAAAACAAACUGAUUGAAUGUGAAACUGUGAGGACUGCAUUUUACAUCUGUCCUUUGACUUUGUGCACAAAGUUAGUGUAGCAGCUAAGGACCAAUUAUGUAACCACUAACAAGACAGCUGCUGGUUAUAAUUUCUUCACUAUCCCUGUAAGCUCAUUUGUAGUUCAGAAAUCGCUCAUAGUCAAGGGGCUGAUAGAAAUCUUCCAAAAUCUGUGUGAAAAAUACAUUAAGCCAUGUUCUGUGACAGUCAUCUGCACAGCAGCACAAGUAAUUCCAAGCGCCUCUUGAAGAACCCUCUUAAAAAUAGGGUUUCCCACAAAUAUUUUGCUGGCUGAAUAUAUGGAGCCUGACUGGGCUUUUCACUUACUGGGAAAUAAUUCCAGCCCCAUCUACUGAGCCAUUCUAAAUUUGCAACAGAUUGUACAUUUAGAGAAAACACACAGCAAAUGUACAACAUUUGUCAUCUUAUGUAAAUUGUAAGUUCUUCAGGGAAGAGGCAUUUUCUUGCUGUAAUAAAAAGAGCUCCAGUAGCAGUCUUAAAGCAUUACAAGGCUCUUAAUUAAAGAAAAAAAUGUGCUAAAGUUCUGAGGCACACUGAGCCAGUGGUGCCAGUGGUCUUUCACGUUCCUCCAAGCUCAUGGGAAUGUCUGUAGCAAAAUAGCACAAAUAUUACAAAAUGCCUUCUCCUGCUGAUUAUUGCUUGUCAUUUUCUAACCAUUUCAAGAACAGUUUCCAAUGACUUUAUGUUACUUUCAACAGUUGCAACCUUCAAGUACUUCACACUAAGCAGCAACAGGGACAUAACCAGCCUUUUCCAGAAUUUACUCUUAAUCUCAGUUGAGGUAAAGCCUUGGUUUAUAUGAAGUAGUUCACAUCUUGCUGGUGUGCAUUUGUGAACUCAUAAUUGGGGAAUACUUAAGAAAACUGAAAGAGGGUGGAGAUACAGUUAACUCAGACUAGCAAAAAAUAUAAUUAACUAUGCAAUCCUUUCACUGGGGCAGCAUUAUUUUUUACAUCUGGAAAAGUCCACAGAAAGGGCUAGAUCCCAUCCUACACCAAGGACUUGCACUGCUUCCUCCAUCAGCACAAAGCUGCUACGAAGACUUUUGGCCACACCUUAACUGGAUGCUGCAGAGUUCAUCUUACAGCUGUUGUUGGCAGACAGUCCCUGCCUCAUUACUGCUGGCCUUCUCCAUCUUGGGCAGCAUCCUGGUACCUGACAUCCACUUGCAGCUAUUCCUGGAAGUCACAAUCAAUUUUAGAGGUAGGUGUCAGACCAGCUGCCAGAUAUGAUAGAUCUGGAUUUUGAGGACCUUAUACCUGGAGGACUCAGAGGCAGAGGGGCAGCUCCUGUGAGAUACCAUGCGGGAGCAAGCUGUAUUUUUGCCAGCUAGACUAUGAUGUGAAAAUUAAAGCUCCUGAUGCUAGGAAGUGGGCCUUUUAUGGGCCUUUCCCCUCCAGCAGUGGCAGAUGAGUUCUUGGUGCCUUGAGUGCCCUUUCCAUCAGUGAGAAAUGAGUAGCUCCAGCAGCAGAAAUAAAAGUUCUGUGAAGCACUGCCUACAGCUUUAAGCUGAAAUAGGGUAUUGCAGCCACAAGCUGCACAUUAAUAGCAGAGAAUAACUCAAGAUUCAAUAUGUGUCUGCCCAGCAAAUCUCUGAGGAAGGAGAUACAGCUUGCCAGGUCUGGUACGCACUUGAGUCACAUGAGAAUAAUUAUGCUAAGUACCUUCAAAAAAAACUUUCUAGAAGUUAGAAGAAAUGUAUGCAACAGCCCUUGUUUCAACACAGUACUAUACUGCAAGAGAGUUAUAUGAAGGUGUUCCUAUUCAUUUGUUUCAUAAACUGUGUGAAACAAUGCCAGGAAAAGGCUCUUUUUUUUUUUUUUAACAACCAGAAAUAUUUCCUGAAUUUCUUUGAUUGCAACUAGCAUUGCUCAUACUAGCUCUUGUACUAUUUUGAACGCUUUUACAUGUGGAUAUAUAUGCAGAUCUCAUGCAGAGUACUAUACCAAGGAGUUAACCUGGAGCUUUGCAUGAUUCGUGUAACAUUGGUGCUGUAUAGUGAAUUGUUUAGACUGAAGAAUCAUCUCCAGACAGAACAAAUCCAGCUCUCUUGGUCUUUUUUCAUAGGAGAGAUGCUCCAGCACUCUGAGCAUCUUUGCAGCCCUCCUCUGGGCCCACUCCAACAGGUCUGCAUCCUUCUCAUGCUGUGGGCCUCAGACUUGGCUGCAGUACUCCAGAUGGGACAUCAGGAGGGAGAGAGGGACAAUUCCCUCCCUAUGCUGGCUGGCCGCCCCUCUUUUGAUGCAGCUCAGUUGCUGCUGGCCUUCCAGGUUGCAGGUGCACACUGCUGGCUCAUGUCUAGCUUUUCAUCGACCAGAAUUCCCAAGUCCUUCUCUGUUGGGCUGCUCUCAACGAGUUCUUCUCCUACUCUGUUCUCAUAUCUGGGAUUGCCUGAUCUGAAUGCAACACCUUGAACAUGGCCUUGUUGAACCUCAUUAGGUUCUCACUGGCCCACUUUUCAUGCAGUGCAGGUUCCUCUGGUUGGUGUCCCUUCCUUCUAUUUUAUCAGCAGCACCGUGAGCUUGUGUCAUCAGCAAACUUGCUGAGGGUACACUCGAUCCCACUAUCUAAUCAUUGGUAAAGAUGUUGGAGAGCACUGGUCCCAAAGCAGACCCAUGGGGGAUAUCACGCAUGACUGGCCUCUGCCUAGACAUAGAGCCAUUGGCUGUGACCAUCCAAGCAAUUCUUUAUUCACCUAAUAUUUCAGCUUUCAAGUCCAUAUCUCUCCAAUUUAGAGAGCCUUUUCCAUGCCGGUUGAAGCCAGUUCUCCCUCCCAACUUGUCAGAAGGGUUAUGUUCUCCUUUGUCUGUCUUCUGACCAAUGUACCUACAGAAUCCCUUCUUGUUGUUUUUUCCCUUCUUGUUGUUUUUUCCCUUCUUGUUGUUUUUUCACAUCCCUUGCCAAAUUUUGUUUCAACUCCACCUCGACUUUUCUGAUCCCAUCUCCAGAAGUCCAGGAUGAAUCCCUGAAUUCUCCCCAGGCCACUCAUACCUGUACUUUUCUUUCUUAUCCCUCAGUCUGACCAGCAGGUCCUUGUUCAGCCAUGCCAGUAUCCUGCCUCCUCUGCUUGAUUUUUUUCUGAUGGUGGAUGGAGAGUUCUUAUGCUCUCAGAAAGCCAUCCUUAAAGAGCUACCAGUUCUGUUCUGUUUCUAUGUCCUUAAGGACAGUUUCCCAGGGGAUUCCAUCUAAUAAUUCCUUAAACAGCUGGAAUAUCCCUCUUCUGAAGUUCA